rnacentral:rRNA from 1 species
AUCUGGAGGGCUCCUAUUCCUCCUAAGGUCAAGGUUUUCCUCUGGCAAGCGUCUCGUGGGCGAUUGCCGACGGGUGAUCAGAUUCGCAAGCGAAAUGGCCCGGGAUCUGAUAGCUGUGCCUUGUGUGGGAUGAGAGAAGACGCGUUUCAUAUUUUCUUUAACUGUGUGUUGGCUAAAUUAUUAUGGUGUUGUAUCAGAUCCUGGUUGCAUGUCCCCUGGGCUCCGAACUCCUUCUAUGACCUGCACAUCUUGACCAAUUCUUUGGUUGGGGCCCAGAGGAGAUUGUUUUGGGUGGGCUUCAUAGCUAUGUGCUGGACUCUUUGGACGACAAGGAACACAUUUACUAUUGAACAUGUCUUCCCUACUAAGCCUGCUGAUUGCUUAUUUAAGACCUGUAUAUUCCCGCAGCAGUGGAGAUUAUUGACUAAGGAGGAGGACAGGGAUGCCUUCGACGCCAUGUUGGCCAAGAUCCGAAAUUCUGCCAUCUCCAUCUCCCCAGUUCAAGCAGGCAAUUAG